rnacentral:rRNA from 1 species
AGUGAACGCUGGCGGUAGGCCUAACACAUGCAAGUCGAACGGCAGCACAGGAGAGCUUGCUCUCUGGGUGGCGAGUGGCGGACGGGUGAGGAAUACAUCGGAAUCUGCCCAGUCGUGGGGGAUAACGUAGGGAAACUUACGCUAAUACUGCAUACGACCUUCGGGUGAAAGAGGGGGAUCGCAAGACCUCUCGCGAUUGGAUGAGCCGAUGUCGGAUUAGCUAGUUGGCGGGGUAAUGGCCCACCAAGGCGACGAUCCGUAGCUGGUCUGAGAGGAUGAUCAGCCACACUGGAACUGAGACACGGUCCAGACUCCUACGGGAGGCAGCAGUGGGGAAUAUUGGACAAUGGGCGCAAGCCUGAUCCAGCCAUACCGCGUGGGUGAAGAAGGCCUUCGGGUUGUAAAGCCCUUUUGUUGGGAAAGAAAUCUUUCAGGCUAAUACCCUGGGAGGAUGACGGUACCCAAAGAAUAAGCACCGGCUAACUUCGUG